CCUACGGGAGGCAGCAGUGGGGAAUAUUGGGCAAUGGGCGCAAGCCUGACCCAGCAACGCCGCGUGAAGGAAGAAGGCUUUCGGGUUGUAAACUUCUUUUCUCAGGGACGAAGAAAGUGACGGUACCUGAGGAAUAAGCCACGGCUAACUACGUGCCAGCAGUCGCGGUAAUACGUAGGUGGCAAGCGUUAUCCGGAUUUAUUGGGGGUAAAGGGCGUGUAGGCGGGAGCGCAAGUCAGAUGUGAAAACUCAGGGCUCAACCCUGAGCCUGCAUUUGAAACUGUGUUUCUUGAGUGCUGGGGAGGCAAUCGGAAUUCCGGGUGUAGCGGUGAAAUGCGUAGAUAUACGGAGGAACACCAGUGGCGAAGGCGGAUUGCUGGACAGUAACUGACGCUGAGGCGCGAAAGCGUGGGGAGCAAACAGGAUUAGAUACCCGUGUAGUC
rnacentral:rRNA from 1 species